rnacentral:misc_RNA from 1 species
AUGACAAAACGCCGUGCGAGCAAUAAAAAGCCUUCGGGUUUGAACAAAUCACUUGGUAAUUCGCUUAGCAACGAUCGUGAGAAAACUAGGAAAAGUCAUCAACGUGCAAAGUACGAUGGAAACGACAUUGAGAAUCCAGCUUUCAUGGAACACGAAGUCAAUCAUUACAUCGACUCGGUGACAGACGAAACUAGUUUGGAGGAGUUUUUGGCUAAAGCAGAACUUGCUGGAACUGAAUUCACCGCCGAGAAGGAGCAGUUCAAGAUUAUUGAAAAGAACUCCGCUAUUGUCGUCCCAACAAGGCUGGACUACCGUGCCAAUCUUGACCUUCAAAAGGAGAACGAGCACCGUCUUCGGAUUCCAAGACGUCCAGCAAAGGAGCUCUGGGAGAACAUGGAGGAUUUGACUAAGCUGGAAAACGAAGCAUUCCUUCAAUGGAGGUCCGACCUGAGCGAGCUGCAAGAGGCACGCGGAAGUUUGAAAGACGAUUAAUAUUUUAUUCUUCAGGUGGACGGACUGGUACUGACUCCUUUCGAGCGAAAUCCUGACAUGUGGAGAGAGCUCUGGAGAGUUGUCGAGAAGAGCGACAUCAUUGUUCAAAUCGUGGACGCUCGAAAUCCAUUGCUGUUCCGCAGUAAAGAUUUGGAUGACUACGUCAAGGAAGUUGAUCCCGCCAAGCAGAUUCUUCUUCUCGUCAAUAAGGCAGAUCUUCUGAAACCGGAACAACAGGCCAGCUGGAGGGAAUACUUCGAAAAGGAAAAUAUCAAAGUAAUUUUCUGGUCGGCUAUCGAUGAAGUCUUAGAUCCAAUCGAUGAAGACGCAGUAGAAACAUCAAAUCCAUCAACUUCCACACAUAUGUUCGUAACGAACAAGGAUGAGCUGAUUGCGAAGUUCAAGGAACUUGGUCACGUAUCAGAUGAGCCGUCAGCAAAGCCAGUCAUGGUUGGAAUGGUUGGCUAUCCUAACGUUGGAAAAAGUUCUACGAUCAACAAGCUGGCUGGUGGAAAGAAGGUUUCAGUAUCAGCAACACCCGGAAAGACGAGACAUUUCCAAACCAUUCACAUCGACAGCCAACUAUGCCUUUGUGAUUGUCCCGGACUUGUCAUGCCUUCUUUCUCUUUUGGACGAAGCGAAAUGUUUUUAAACGGUAUUCUUCCCGUUGAUCAAAUGCGUGACCACUUCGGCCCAACGUCGCUUCUACUCUCCCGUGUUCCAGUUCAUGUCAUCGAGGCGACAUACUCGAUUAUGCUGCCAGAGAUGCAAAGUCCUUCUGCAAUCAACUUGCUUAACUCGCUCGCGUUCAUGAGAGGAUUUAUGGCGUCGUCGGGAAUUCCGGAUUGUUCCAGAGCCGCGAGGCUGAUGUUCAAGGAUGUUGUCAGUGGAAAAUUGAUUUGGGCAGCCGCACCUCCCGGAGUUGAGCAAGAAGAGUUUGACCGAAUCUCCUAUCCAGACAAGAAGACUCGUGAUAUUGGUCGGGUGCAGAUGGAAAAGCUUGCCAAGCUUCAGCUUCUCGAGGGUGAUGAGUUGAAGGGAUCACAAUUUGACUCUCAACACUUUGUCGGAUCAAUCGGAGUUGCUCAUGUCAGAGAUUCAAAAGCAUUGCCUCAAACGUUAGGAACCGUCAUUCCAACUGCUCCUACCGAAAACAAUGGAAAGAAGCAUUACAAGGGAAAGAAGGACAAAUUGAGGAGGAUUUAUAAUGAAUAA